UAGCUUUGAUAUUCAAUCCAUUUGAUAUUUCCUUUUAUUUAAAUGAAUAUAAGCACUAUUUGAUAUUCCCUUAUCAGUAGGACCUGAUGCAGACAUGGGAACAAGUUGCCUUAAUCUAAUACCAGAUGCCAGUUGCAACCUGUUAUCUAUUGUAUUUAGAUGAGCUUAAGCCAUCUCUAGUCAUAGGCUAUAGGGCAAAUGUCAGCAGGAUAUAUUCUGACACGUGUAGCGCAC
rnacentral:lncRNA from 1 species